rnacentral:rRNA from 1 species
UACAGAGGUCUCAAGCGUUGUUCGGAUUCAUUGGGCGUAAAGGGUGUGUAGGUGGCGCGCUAAGUCGGGUGUGAAAUUUCGGAGCUUAACUCCGAAACUGCAUUCGAUACUGGCGUGCUUGAGGACUGGAGAGGAGACUGGAAUUCAUGGUGUAGCAGUGAAAUGCGUAGAGAUCAUGAGGAAGACCAGUGGCGAAGGCGGGUUGCUGGGCUGACACUGACGCUGAGGCGCGAAAGCCAGGGGAGCAAACGGG